AACCACUAACUCCUAACCAGGUCUGAUGACAGAGGUGCAACGUGGCUUGGCUGGGUCUGUGUAGCACUUCUCCAGUGGGACAGCACGAGGCUCAAGGUUCCCUGGACUCCUCCAUUGCUUAUGCUCAGCAUGAAGACAGCACCUUCAGGAAACAGCUACUAAGGAAAGGACAGAAGGGGCAGGCUGAGGGGGAGAGACGUGUGCAAGAGCCCUGGCUGCAGAAAGGGAAGAGUACCAGAAAACCCAUCCUGUGAGAAAUGGCCACAAUCAUCUUCCGGCAAGACCACCUCUUAGUUGACUUUCUCCUAUGAACCUUGAAGAAGAGAAUCUGAUUGGCCAGAUCAUCUUCCCAAACCAGGCAAGUAAGGGGUCUUAGACCAGCGGAAGCCUUGGCUGCACUUGGAUCAGAUGUCCUCCUGUGGCCCAAUCAGCUAGGGAUAAGGGGGAACUGCCCGUCCAUAGCCCCUCAGUGCAGAGACCACUGGUGGGGCCAG